CCCAGCAUAGUGUAGUGGUUUGAGUGUUGGACUAUAACUCUGGAGACCAGGAUUCAAGUCCCUGGGCAGUCA
rnacentral:tRNA from 1 species